AGAGACAGCAGUAGCCGCGGGAAUACCGAGGGUGCGAGCGUUAAUCGGAUUUACUGGGCGUAAAGCGUGCGUAGGCGGCUUCUUAAGUCGGAUGUGAAAUCCCUGAGCUUAACAUAGGAAUUGCAUUCGAUACUGGGAAGCUAGAGUAUGGGAGAGGAUGGUAGAAUUCCAGGUGUAGCGGUGAAAUGCGUAGAGAUCUGGAGGAAUACCGAUGGCGAAGGCAGCCAUCUGGCCUAAUACUGACGCUGAGGUACGAAAGCAUGGGGAGCAAACAGGAUUAGAUACCCCCGUAGUCCCUGUCUCUUAUAC
rnacentral:rRNA from 1 species